rnacentral:rRNA from 1 species
UACGUAGGGUGCAAGCGUUGUCCGGAAUUAUUGGGCGUAAAGAGCUCGUAGGCGGUCUGUUGCGUCGGCUGUGAAAACCCGAGGCUCAACCUCGGGCCUGCAGCCGAUACGGGCAGACUAGAGUUCGGCAGGGGAGACUGGAAUUCCUGGUGUAGCGGUGAAAUGCGCAGAUAUCAGGAAGAACACCCGUGGCGAAAGCGGCUCUCUGGAACGGUACUGACGCUGAGACGCGAAAGCGUGGGGAGCGAACAGG